AGAGUUUGAUCAUGGCUCAGAUUGAACGCUGGCGGCAUGCCUUACACAUGCAAGUCGAACGGCAGCACGGGAGCAAUCCUGGUGGCGAGUGGCGAACGGGUGAGUAAUAUAUCGGAACGUGCCCAGUCGUGGGGGAUAACGUAGAGAAAUUUACGCUAAUACCGCAUACGAUCUACGGAUGAAAGCGGGGGACUCGCAAGAGCCUCGCGCGACUGGAGCGGCUGAUAUCAGAUUAGGUUGUUGGUGAGGUAAAAGCUCACCAAGCCGACGAUCUGUAGCUGGUUUGAGAGAACGACCAGCCACACUGGGACUGAGACACGGCCCAGACUCCUACGGGAGGCAGCAGUGGGGAAUUUUGGACAAUGGGCGCAAGCCUGAUCCAGCAAUGCCGCGUGCAGGAAGAAGGCCUUCGGGUUGUAAACUGCUUUUGUACGGAACGAAAAGGUCCUUUCUAAUACAAGGGGCUAAUGACGGUACCGUAAGAAUAAGCACCGGCUAACUACGUGCCAGCAGCCGCGGUAAUACGUAGGGUGCGAGCGUUAAUCGGAAUUACUGGGCGUAAAGCGUGCGCAGGCGGUUAUGUAAGACAGUUGUGAAAUCCCCGGGCUCAACCUGGGAAUUGCAUCUGUGACUGC
rnacentral:rRNA from 1 species